rnacentral:rRNA from 1 species
UGAGUACGAGAUGCUACGGCAUCGAAGCAGUCUAUGUCAUACUUCCAAGAAAAGCUUGCACUGUCAUAAACAAAGAAUGCCUGUACCAUAACCGACACAGGUGGGUAGGUAGAGUAUACUAAGGGGCGCGAGAUAACUCUCUCUAAGGAACUCGGCAAAAUGACUCCGUAACUUCGGGAGAAGGAGUGCCUUAUUUCUAAGGUUGCAAUAACAAGAUCCAAGCAACUGUUUACCAAAAACACAGGUCUCCGCUAAGUCGUAAGACGAUGUAUGGGGGCUGACGCCUGCCCAGUGCCAGAAGGUUAAAGAAGUUGGUUAGCAUUAGCGAAGCUGAUAACUGAAGCCCUGGUGAACGGCGGCCGUAACUAUAACGGUCCUAAGGUAGCGAAAUUCCUUGUCGGGUAAGUUCCGGCCCGCACGAAAGGCGUAAUGAUUUGGAUACUGUCUCGGAGAGGGGCUCGGUGAAAUAGACUUGUCUGUGAAGAUGCGGACUACCUGCACCUGGACAGAAAGACCCUAUGAAGCUUUACUGUAACUUGAGAUUGAAAUUGGACUUUAUUUGCGCAGUAUAGGUGGGAGGCGCUGAGAAUAAUCUUGCGGGAUUGUUGGAGCCAUCAGUGAGAUACCACUCUUGUAAUGUUAGAUUUCUAACUUUGUAUCAUUAUCUGGUCAAAGAACAGUUUCAGGCGGGCAGUUUGACUGGGGCGGUCGCCUCCCAAACGGUAACGGAGGCGCACAAAGGUUUCCUCUGAACGGGUAGAAAUCGUAUCUAGAGUGUAAAGGCAUAAGGAAGCUUGACUGUGAGACCUACAAGUCGAGCAGGGACGAAAGUCGGUCUUAGUGAUCUGACGGUGCUGAGUGGAAAGGCCGUCACUCAACGGAUAAAAGUUACUCUAGGAUAACAGGCUGAUCUCCCCCAAGAGUUCACAUCGACGGGGAGGUUUGGCACCUCGAUGUCGGCUCAUCGCAUCCUGGGGCGGUAGUACGUCCCAAGGGUUGGGCUGUUCGCCCAUGAAAGCGGUACGCGAGCUGGGUUCAGAACGUCGUGAGACAGUUCGGUCCAUAUCCGGUGUAGGCGUUAGAAUAUUGAGAGGAGCCUUCUCUAGUACGAGAGGACCGAGAAGGACAUACCUCUGGUGUACCAGUUAUCGUGCCAACGGUAAACGCUGGGUAGCUAUGUAUGGAGUGGAUAACCGCUGAAAGCAUCUAAGUGGGAAGCCCACCUCAAGAUGAGUGCUCUCACAGGGUUAACCUGGUAAGGUCACGGGAAGACCACCCGUUAAUAGGCACUAGGUGGAAGUCCAGUAAUGGACGGAGCCAAGGUGUACUAACAGACCGAGGGCUUAAU